UUUUUGUGGGGUUUCUUUGUUUUUUGGUUUUUGGGUCACACCCGGCGGUGCUCAGGGGUUACUCCUGGCUCUGUGCUCAGAAAUCGCUCCUGGCAGGCUCAGGGGACCAUAUGGGUGCCGGGAUUCGAACCACCAACCUUCUGCAUGAAAGGCAAAUACCUUACCUCCAUGCUAUCUCUCCAGCCCCAGUGAA